rnacentral:rRNA from 1 species
UCCUACGGGGGGCAGCAGUGGGGAAUAUUGCACAAUGGGGGAAACCCUGAUGCAGCGACGCCGCAUGAGCGAAGAAGUAUUUCGGUAUGUAAAGCUCUAUCAGCAGGGAAGAAAAUGACGGUACCUGACUAAGAAGCCCCGGCUAACUACGUGCCAGCAGCCGCGGUAAUACGUAGGGGGCAAGCGUUAUCCGGAUUUACUGGGUGUAAAGGGUGCGUAGGCGGAAUGCCAAGUCAGCGGUAAAAUCGCGGGGCUCAACCUCGCUCCGCCGUUGAAACUGGCGUUCUUGAGUGGGCGAGAAGUAU